rnacentral:snRNA from 1 species
UUUUACUGGUUUCCCUUCAAGAUGAAUAAAUCUUUCACCUUUUACUAAAGAUUUCCAUGGAGGGGAACAUUAAAUGAGUCUAUAACUAAUUUUUCUUAGCGCUCAGCAUAAUUAUGCUGC